rnacentral:sRNA from 1 species
GAGACAGCCCUGGAGGCUGAAGUCAUUUAUUUACUCCCAGAACAAGCACAAACUACACAAGCACCUGCCCCAGGAGCCCAGAUAAAAGACCCUUGGACCUGACCUGGAGAGACAACUCGCAGGGGUGACCCAGCGAACCCAGCCUCGUUUCCCAUUCCACCCGUAACUUCU